AGACUCACACACACACAGUAGAUCUCGUAUUGGAUGUAGCGAAAAUAGCCGACAAAACAGAAAGAUUACUAUAUAUACUUUAUGAUGUAUCAUUCUUGCAACUUGUUGUACAUUUUCACGGUCUCAAUGGGCUGGUUUUGAUUUUCAUUCAACGCACGAUUUAAAUUCAGCUCUAGACAGAUCCAAUAUGAUUUUGUUUUUGUUUGACGGCGGGCGAACAUGCGAACGAGCGAACGGGGAAGAUUCUUUUCACUUUUCGUGCAAAAAAUUUUCGGCGUUUUGCUGCGAAUCUCUGGCAUUUUCAUCAGUGAUCAGUGAGCGAUUCGGUUUUUAUAACUACAUUUAUGCACGAGGCCGUAUUCUUCCCUCGUCGUCGGCGUCGUCAGCACAGCGAGAGAAAUAAAAAACCACACACAAAAAUUGUGUUAGAACAAAAAAUUAAUAGUUGGUGUUAAAUAUAGAAUGUUCGUGCAUCGUUUGAACAUUGAUUCUGUUGUUGUUGCCGUUGGUCGCGACAAGUGCGAGUACACAACCAAAUGUCAAAAUUUUCGAUAAAAACAAUUUUUUCACUUGGGAAUAUCAAAGUGAUAAGUAGCACUAUGCAAAAAAUAAUAACCUGAUCAUGUCUCUGUGUAUCCAUAAAACAAGCGCACACACAAAAAUAGAAGCUCUUUCCAAUAAUGUUGAAAUCGGAAUAUAUAA